rnacentral:rRNA from 1 species
AGUGAACGCUGGCGGUAGGCCUAACACAUGCAAGUCGAACGGCAGCACAGUAAGAGCUUGCUCUUACGGGUGGCGAGUGGCGGACGGGUGAGGAAUACAUCGGAAUCUACUUUUUCGUGGGGGAUAACGUAGGGAAACUUACGCUAAUACCGCAUACGACCUACGGGUGAAAGCAGGGGAUCUUCGGACCUUGCGCGAUUGAAUGAGCCGAUGUCGGAUUAGCUAGUUGGCGGGGUAAAGGCCCACCAAGGCGACGAUCCGUAGCUGGUCUGAGAGGAUGACGACCCAACUGGCAACUGAGCCCGGCCCCGGACCCCUCGGGGGGCCGGCGGGGGGGAAUUUUGGACAUGGGGCCCAGGCCUUCCCCACCAAUCCCGGGUGGGUGAAGAAGGCCUUGGGGUUGUAAAGCCUUUUUGUGGGGAAAAAAAACCAGCAGGUUAACCCCCCCCUUUUCUGACGUUCCCAAAAAAAUAAGCCCCGGCUAUCUUCGUC